AUGGCCGGACGUGCCGGUGAUCACAAGCCGGCGCUAGCAGCCACAGGCACACCUGACUUCACACAGAGAAAGAAGCUUCAGCAGCAUCAGGAUCUUCUUGAAUCAGCAGCGAAGUUCCCUAAGCAAGAAAUCAAUGGCUGGGAGCAUCCAGACCUCUGUUCACCAUCAAAGCUGCUCAAGAACGUAAGUACUUCCAUCAGGGAGAUCAGUCGCUGGGCAAGAUCUUCAACGGGGUCAAAGGUGAACUCAGAUAUCCGGCUCUUGGAUUCUGUAUUUUCUUUGAUACAAGUGGUAACUUCGACAGCACCACACCCAGAUCACGUCGUCGCCAUGAUACGAGUCCACGAAGCGCUUGCUAGCCUGUUGUUGGUCCUGCCCAAGAAUAUAUUCCUUUUCCUGUUGCAACAUUUCGCUCAGUUUGGAAACGCACUGCAUAAUUUGCGAAGAAGCAUAAGGAGUGGUCUUCAGGUACUCAAAAACAUGAUCUUGGACUAUACAUCUGACGUAGUCCCCCAAGGUGGUGGUAUCCAUGAGAUCACCAAAUACUUGUUGAAAUACAUCAUUUCACUGCUGGACAAUGGCAGAUCUCUCAAAAUCAUACUUGUCAGCGAUGAACAGGAUGGCAUGGUUGCAAUGGAGACGCUGCAAGAUGUUGUUGCUACCUUGAUCUGUCACUUGGAAAUUAUGCUUCAGAAAGAAUCUCAUCGCUAUAAAGAUGCAGGGUUAAAACAAAUGUUCAUGGUGAAUAACGUGAACUUUGUGCUGCAUCAAGUAGAAGGCUCAGAGACAAGGUAUCUUCUAGGAGAGGAUUGGGUUCUGCAGCACCGAGACCAACUGAAGGACCACAUCUCACGGUUCAUCAACAUUUCUUGGGAAUCCGUCAUGUAUUGCUUCCAUGUAAAGACCAACAAAAUCCCAAUCUUUUCUAGCCUACCAACACUGCAAAUAUUUAACCUGGAAUUUGAGAAAACUUACUGGACUCAGAAGACAUGGAAAGUUGAAAAUCCUCUGCUCCGUUCCAAUAUGCGUAAAUCAGUAUCAGAGAAGCUUGUUCAGGCUUACAGUACAUACCAUGAGAAUCACAAAAACAAAGCCCCAAAGCUUAUGAAGUACACCCCUGAAGAUCUUGAAGAGCUGCUGUCAGAUCUGUGUGAAGGAUAA
rnacentral:rRNA from 1 species